CUACUGGCAGAGGAGGAGCAGCAGCUGCUGCAGAAGCUGGAGGAGGAGGAGCUGGAGGUUCUGCCCCGCCUGCGGGAAGGAGCUGCACGGCUAGGCCAGCAAAGCACGCAGCUCGCGGCCCUCGUCUCAGAGCUUGAGAGCCGCUGCCAGCUGCCAGCACUGGGUUUAUUGCAGGCACGCAGCAGGCCCUGUACCUGCCUGCCACUGGGCUGCCACUCGACUUGCAGUACGUCCCCAAGUCCCAGCCACUUGCAAACCUUCUGCCUCUCCCACUGACCAUGACCAUGCUGCCGCCUAAUGAGCCACACUGUGCUCUAUGGAGGGAGGGUGGCGAACAGACAGACAUACGGAGAGACAGAGAGACAGAAGGUUCAGAAUGAGAAAGCAUUUGUUCACAACAGACUCAAGUCUGCAGAGAGCAUGCCCUCCCCAUCUCUCCUGUACACUCCACAGCAGCUAAGGCAGGCACCCCAGAAAAGUGCUCUUGGGUCUCCAUGGAGAUGGGCACAGCGGGGAUGCUCCAGUUCCUUGAAUAAAAGGGUGUAGUGUUGGGUAUCAGC
rnacentral:lncRNA from 1 species